GACGUAGGGGGCCAGCGUUGUUCGGAAUUACUGGGUGUAAAGGGUUCGUAGGCGGUGCGGCAAGUUGGGAGUGAAAUCUCUGGGCUUAACCCAGAGGCUGCUUCCAAAACUGCUGUGCUUGAGUGUGGGAGAGGCGCGUGGAAUUGCAGGUGUAGCGGUGAAAUGCGUAGAUAUCUGCAGGAACACCCGUGGCGAAAGCGGCGCGCUGGACACUACUGACGCUGAGGAACGAAAGCUAGGGGAGCAAACAGG
rnacentral:rRNA from 1 species